rnacentral:rRNA from 1 species
UACAGAGGUCUCAAGCGUUGUUCGGAUUCAUUGGGCGUAAAGGGUGCGUAGGUGGCGCGGUAAGUCGGGUGUGAAAUCUCGGAGCUUAACUCCGAAAUUGCAUUCGAUACUGCCGUGCUCGAGGACUGGAGAGGAGACUGGAAUUCAUGGUGUAGCAGUGAAAUGCGUUGAUAUCGAUAGGAACUCCGGUGGCGAAGGCGGCAUACUGGACCACCUCUGACGCUGAGGCGCGAAAGCCAGGGGAGCAAACGGGG